rnacentral:lncRNA from 1 species
CGCGCUCAGAACCGCGGCGCUGCUGAACGCACCUCACACCCGCUUUAUUUACAAAGCCAGGCUUUAAUUCGGGUUUAAUUCGGGUUUAGUCCGAUUCUGAGUCAUGGCUGUGUGUUUAGUACCGGAUUUUCCUGCGGUUCGGAUCGCUCUGGAGCAUCUAGCAGAGUCCGAUAAGCAGCUGAGGGAAGGUGUGAUAUUCAGCGAGGAGGAAAGUCAUCACCUGAGAGAAAUAGCAGACGCUAUUAAAGCUCUGGAGACGUCCAGAAAAGCAGUGUUCGAUGAACUGGAGGUCGAAACCAUUGAAAUGAGCAAACUUCGCCAUCAGGUCCUGAGUCAGGGAGAUGAUGUGGUGAAUGAAGUAUUGGCCGGGGUGGCGGCCGCCCGGGACGUGAACGCGGCUCAGCUGAAUCAGCUCCAGACGGAGAUGAAAAGUGUGGUGGAGGAAAUAGAGCUGAUGGAGAGGAGGAGGAAGGUGCUGCAGGGGGAAAAUGCCAGGCUCCUGCCAGAUCGAGAACCUAUGAAGAGCAGUCAUGCGAUCAUCAUUGAGCAGCUGAACCAGCAGCUCUCAGAGAAGUCCAGUACACAGAUCUCUCUGAACCAGCUGAAGAUCCACAUCCAGAACACAGAGCAGAAGAUCACUCAGGUGCAGAAAACCAAAACUCACCUGAUCCAAAACCUACUGCAGGAGAGGAGGAGCUUCUCAGAGAGGAAGGAGAUGCUGCAGAAAGAGGUAACCAGCCAGCAUCAGUCCUUACACACCUGCUGUUACAAUACUCAGACCAGACCAAAAGCA